ensembl:snRNA U4 U4 spliceosomal RNA
AGCUUUGCGUAGUGGCAGUAUCAUAGCCAAUAAAGUUUAUCUGAGGUGUGAUUAUUGCUAAUUGAAAACUUUUUCCAAUACCCGGCCUUGAUGACCUGCAAUAUAAGCAACACUGGCAAUUUUUGACAGUCUCUAUAGAGA